AUUUGGGUGGAGGGGCUGCAAUGCGAUGGGGUGCAAGUUGGUCUUGGAGCAGGGCAGAGGUGGGGUGGGGGAGGAAUGAAUUACGAAGAGGCAGGGGUGGGGUACGAGUUGGCCUUGGAGCAGGGCAAGGCAGGGGUGGGGAGGAAUGAAUUACGAAGAGGUGGGGGUGGGGCUGCUUACAGGAGAGGGCGAGGGUCAAGUGUUCUUGGAUCUCGAUCGAAGCAAUCUUGAUCAAGAAGCUGCUUUGGCUGUUCCGGAAACCAUAAAUGGCUAUUAGAUGCACAAGGUAACGCGAGGAUCCGCGAAUAUCCUUCGAACUCGAAGGAUAUCCUAUAACAGGGAGUGUCUCCUACCUUUUCUUUUAAUUUACGCUUUAAAUUUAUUUUAUUUUCUUGCAUAUCCCGGGACUUGCAUGCAUUAAUUUUGUUCCUAAAUUUUAUACUAACUUGUUUUUUAAGUGUUUUUAUUUUGUAGGUAAAGCUUAUGGGAGACGAGAGGAUCGGCGAAUAUCCUUCGAACUCGAAGGAUAUCUCAUAAUAGGGAGUAUCUCCUACUUUUUCUUUUAAUUUACGCUUUCCAUUUAUUUUAUUUUCUUGCAUAUCCCGGGACUUGCAUGCAUUAAUUU